AUGUUACAGCUUAUCCUCCCUGCCCUGUGCCCCCACCUCAGGACCAAGUGUUCCAGUUCUGCUGCCGUGAUUGCUGUGAGGACUUCAAGCGGCUUCGGGGUGUGGUGUCCCAGUGUGAGCACUGUCGGCAGGAGAAACUCUUGCAUGAGAAACUCCGAUUCAGCGGAGUGGAGAAGAGCUUCUGCAGCGAAGGCUGUGUGCUGCUGUACAAACAGGACUUCACUAAGAAGCUGGGCUUGUGCUGUAUCACUUGUACUUACUGCUCCCAGACUUGCCAGCGCGGAGUCACUGAGCAACUGGAUGGCAGCACCUGGGACUUCUGCAGUGAGGACUGUAAGAGCAAGUAGCUGCUGUGGUACUGCAAGGCUGCCCGGUGCCAUGCCUGUAAGCGCCAGGGGAAGCUGCUGGAGACCAUCCACUGGCGUGGGCAGAUCCGUCAUUUCUGCAACCAGCAGUGUCUUCUGCGCUUCUAUAGCCAGCAGAACCAACCCAACCUGGAUACCCAGAGUGGGCCCGAGAGCCUCCUGA
rnacentral:lncRNA from 1 species